AUGGAACCUUUUUGUAGGGAGAAGGGCAGGAUGUUUUUAACAGAAUGUGACCUCACUGGAAUACUAGAGAAAGCAAUAACAUUUCUGAAUGGGGCAGUGUGGAGAAAUCCUAAGAGAAAUAGCAUAAGAGCAUUUUGGAAUAUAUCCCGGAAAAGAUAACUUUCUACACAUCUGUAGACAUUUGCCAGGUUAAGGCACAGAAAUCAAGCUGUUAGUUCUCAGGACUGUGUUGGUUUUAUGCUCGUGAUUGUGUAUAAAAUGAAGUGUUACAACUGACGAGAAGUUAUGUUGGAGUAAGUCUUGCAGUGGAGGAAGAGCUUCUGAUUUUCUAACAGUUGGUGUGGG
rnacentral:lncRNA from 1 species